GAUGAACGCUGGCGGCGUGCCUAAUACAUGCAAGUCGAGCGAACAGACGAGGAGCUUGCUCCUCUGACGUUAGCGGCGGACGGGUGAGUAACACGUGGAUAACCUACCUAUAAGACUGGGAUAACUUCGGGAAACCGGAGCUAAUACCGGAUAAUAUAUUGAACCGCAUGGUUCAAUAGUUAAAGACGGUUUUGCUGUCACUUAUAGAUGGAUCCGCGCCGCAUUAGCUAGUUGGUAAGGUAACGGCUUACCAAGGCAACGAUGCGUAGCCGACCUGAGAGGGUGAUCGGCCACACUGGAACGGAGACACGGUCCAGACGCCUACGGGAGGCAGCAGUAGGGAAUCUGCGGCAAUGGGCGAAAGCAUGACGGAGCAACGCCGCGUGAGUGAUGAAGGUCUUCGGAUCGUAAAACUCUGUUAUUAGGGAAGAACAAAUGUGUAAGUAACUAUGCACGUCUUGACGGUACCUAAUGAGAAAGCCACGGCUAACUACGUG
rnacentral:rRNA from 1 species